AACGAACGCUGGCGGCGUGCUUAACACAUGCAAGUCGAACGGAAAGGCCCUGCUUUUGUGGGGUGCUCGAGUGGCGACCGGGUGAGUAACACGUGAGUAACCUGCCCUUGACUUUGGGAUAACUUCAGGAAACUGGGGCUAAUACCGGAUAGGAGCUCCUGCUGCAUGGUGGGGGUUGGAAAGUUUCGGCGGUUGGGGAUGGACUCGCGGCUUAUCAGCUUGUUGGUGGGGUAGUGGCUUACCAAGGCAUUGACGGGUAGCCGGCCUGAGAGGGUGACCGGCCACAUUGGGACUGAGAUGCGGCACAGACUACUACGGGAGGCAGCAGUGGGGAAUAUUGCACAAUGGGCGGAAGCCUGAUGCGGCAACGCCGCGCGCGGGAUGACGGCCUUCCGGUUGGAAACCGCUUUCGCCUGUGACGAAGCGUGAGUGACGGUAAUGGGUAAAGAAGCACCGGCUAACUACGUG
rnacentral:rRNA from 1 species